CAGAUCUCCCACCGGCAGCACUCGUGGUUCAAACUGCCGCCACCGUCACAGGCAGGAGGGCCAGGUGGAGGAGGACGCGUGCUGCUGCCUGCUGCGGGCGCAGGAGCUGCUCGAGAAGAUGGCUUCUGCAGGAGGAUGGCUUUUGAGAAGACUGGAGAUGCUGGCAAGAGCCAGUGACAUAUCGGCUGAUAAAGCAAGUUCCCAGCAAGGAGGGACCUGGGAUUAUCCGUCAGCCACAGCGGUGGUGAAAGGUGCUGGAUUGACAAGCUGUGGAGACGGAAGGGCCUCUGGACUCCGCUGAAGUUUACAUUUACAAAGGACACAGAGAAUAAAUAGAAGACAGUGUUUAGAGUCCUCUGUAGACACUUCAGACUUGCUUAUAAUUCUGCAGCAAUUCCAUCACCUCCGAAGUGAUUGAUGCUCUCUAUAAAGUCUUGCCUUAAAACAUUUUCCUAUGUGUCAGGGGAAGAAGUUUAUUACACUUUACUGA